CCUCCUCCUCCGCCUCCUCCUCCUCCUCCUCCGCUUCUGGCUUCUCCUCCUUCUUCUCAGGCUCAUCACAACAACUUUUACACCUCCUCCUCCUCCUUUUCUUCUUCUUCUUCUUCUUUUUUUUUUUUUAUGGCGUCUCGCCCAGCCUGGAGUGCAGAGGCAGUCUUGGCUCACUGCAACCUCCACCUCCGGGGUUCAACUGAUUUUCCCGCCUCAGCCUGCUGAGUAGCUGGGAUUACAGGCACCCUCAUCAAGUCCGGCUAAUUUUUGUAUUUUUAGUAGAGACAGGGUUUCACCAUGUUGGCUAGGCUGGUCUUGACCUCCUGACCUCGGGUGAUCCUCCUGCCUCGGCCUCCCAAAAUGCUGGGAUUACAGGCGUGAGCCACCACGCACGGCUUCUGUUGUUCGUUGAAAUCAUCAUUUUUCUAAUGUCCUCAUUCUCUGCUGGCUAGUUUAAGGGCUGAUUCAAAAAAUAAAUUUUCACACUGUGAAAUACGCAAGAUGAAGAGAACAUUUAUAAAAUAUCCAUACUGUGCAUCUCUGAAUAAUCUUUUCUUCACAUCAGCGGCAGUACAAAUUAGGUGGAGUUUUAAAAGAUACUUCAGCAACUUACAGAUUACAGCAUGUUAUGUAUCUUCAAGAUAUUUUGCUUCAUUGGUGUGCUUGAACAUUUCUGGAUUCCUAGACUCCCAGAAAGCAGUGAGAGGAUAUUACGUUGCAGAAUUUGGUCAGAAUAUGAAGUUUGGAAGACCCUAUAUUCCUGCAGAUCCUUGGAUUGAGGUUAAUUCGAGAGCAAGCCGUGAGUGAGGCCUCUGAGCUCAAGCCUGCACGUAUACAUCCAGAUGGCCUGAAGUAACUGAAGAAUCACAAAAGAAGUGAAAAUGGUCAGUUCCUGCCUUAACUGAUGACAUUACCUUGUGAAAUUCCUUCUCCUGGCUCAUCCUGGCUCAAAAGCUCCCCCACUGAGCACCCUGUGACCCCCAUCCCUGUCCACCAGAGAACAACUCCCUUUGACUGUAAUUUUCCACUACCCACCCAAAUCCUAUAAAAUGGCCCCACCCCUAUCUCCCUUCGCAGACUCUCUUUUUGGACUCAGCCCACUGCACCCAGGUGAAAUAAACAGCCUUGUUGCUCACACAAAGCCUGUUUGGUGCUCUCUUCACACGGACGCGUGUGACACUUCAUGAUUACUUUUAUUUGGACAAAGAGAAACCCUUGAAUAAUGAAGGUUCUCACAUAUAAAAUGUGCUUUUAAUUUUUAAUACCUUACAAAAUUAUCAGAUUAAAUGACGUGGUAAAAAGUCAUAUGUAGGUUAACAUCAGAUGUUAUCGUUCAUUGCAUCUUCUGGUCAGAUAAUACUGAGGUUAUUGAAAUAUACAAUGGCCUCAAAUGCAUUAAGAGCAAAAAUAAAAAAUUUCCCACUAGUUAGCAAUUUAAAAAAAGUUGUCAAAAUAAUUGUUUCCUGAUAAUAUCUACCAGAAGCAUUUAUGCUCUCAUAGACAAAUUAAUAUCAGCCAUUGGGGAGGCCUCUCAUAACUGGAGUGUCCUUGCUUGAACGCUACUGCUGAGAGCCACGAAGCAAAGCGAGCAUGGCAGGUAGUUAGUCCAAGAAUAAAUUCAAAUAACAUAAAAUAAAAAUAAAAUAAAACCUGUUAUGGACUACAAGUAAGAGGCAGUGUCUAUUUGCUGAAAUUCAAUCCAAUUACUUUAUUGUCCCAGGAUUUUGUUUUUUAAUUUUCAUCUCCUUAUAAAUGUUUCCUCAUAGUCAUUUGGUAGCAGCAUAUUUAUGUUCACUUUUAUCCAAUACAGGCUGCAAAUAUGCCCUUCACUUGACCCGGUCUAUUAACUUUGAAAUGCCUAAAGCCAAAACUGACAGUGGAAGAAAAUCUUUCUGGGUUGUAGUUCCAAACUGUUGGAAUAAAGCUACCUGCUUCAGUAAAAAUGCAUAGGCGUAUUACUUUUCUUUCAGGAAAUGUUAAGCUUUCCUUGAAAUUAAAAAAAAAAAAGAUUUUAGAAUUAAAUGUAGGAAAACUCAAUUUCUCAAUUCUUAUUUUCAAUAUGCUUUAUCUGUACUAUGUUUAAGAGUAUACAACACCUAUGCUAGUGUAAAUGUGGGCCCCAGGAGUCUUAAUCAUAUUAAAAAUUUUGGAGUUUCUUGUCCUAGUAUAUAUUUGCUAAUAAACUUCCAUUGCUUUCAGAGAUACAAAAAUUUCUCCUGGUUAUUUGCUGUUUUUACUUUUAAGAACCAAGUGAAAAUUUGAAUGGCUACUGUAUUUUAUAAUUAAUGUUAAUAUUCAUAGGGUAUAAAAAUAUGUUUUUCUAGCUCUAAUCCAGUUAUAUAGCUUCUAUUAUUAUUUUUUACUUUCUCCUGUGCCUUAUAGAAAUCUGCCAUCAAAACCAAGUCACUGGCCCUACCACAUUUGCUACAACUCUGAUAUUCCACAUUUUACAAAGACAGAAUUUGGCUCUUGUUGUCCAGGCUGGAGUGCAAUAGCAUGAUCUCAGCACACUGCAAACCCCGCCUCCCAGGUUCAAGCGAUUCUCCUGCCUCAGCCUCCCGAGUAGCUGGGAUUACAGGUGUGUGCCACCACACCCAGCUAAUUAUUUUUUGUAUUUUUAGUAGAGAUGGGGUUUCACCAUGCUGGUCAGGCUGGUCUCAAACUGACCUCAGGUGAUCCACCUGCCUUUGCCUCCCAAAAUGCUGGGAUUACAGCCAUGAACCACCACAACCGGCCACUCACUGAACUUCGACUCUGUUCCAGGAACUACAAUAUACUUAAUGGAGUUUACCAAGAUUAGUUUUGCUGUAUUCAUCACUUUCAAAUACUUUAUUCUAUAGACUGAGCGAGACUGAAUCCUUGCUGUGGAAUUACCAAGUUCUGUUAAUGGACAAUUAUUUAACCCUGAAGAAAACAAAAAAAUUGAAAAUAAAAUGUCUGACA
rnacentral:lncRNA from 10 species